rnacentral:rRNA from 1 species
UACGUAGGGUGCAAGCGUUAUCCGGAAUUAUUGGGCGUAAAGAGCUCGUAGGCGGCUCGUUGCGUCGGCUGUGAAAACCCGCAGCUCAACUGUGGGCUUGCAGCUGAUACGGGCGGGCUGGGAUUCGGUAGGGGAGACUGGAAUUCCUGGUGUAGCGGUGAAAUGCGCAGAUAUCAGGAGGAACACCGGUGGCGAAGGCGGGUCUCUGGGCCGAUAUCGACGCUGAGGAGCGAAAGCGUGGGGAGCGAACAGG